rfam:Stomoxys calcitrans breed 8C7A2A5H3J4 unplaced genomic scaffold Scaffold1886, whole genome shotgun sequence.
UAUAUGGCUUAUCGAAGACCAUGUUAAUGUACUAGGAUUAAUUAUGGUUCAAAACUAGGCCGAGAGCAAAUUUUGUUACGACGGUCAUUGCUUUAUCGUUUUUCAUGAUGCUGCAAUAACAUUUACGUUCAAUUACAAUA